rnacentral:rRNA from 1 species
UACGGGGGGGGCAAGCGUUGUUCGGAAUUACUGGGCGUAAAGGGCCAGUAGGCGGCCAACUAAGUCGGAUGUGAAAUCCCCAGGCUUAACCUGGGAACUGCAUCCGAUACUGGAUGGCUUGAAUCCGGGAGAGGGAUGCAGAAUUCCAGGUGUAGCGGUGAAAUGCGUAGAUAUCUGGAGGAAUACCGGUGGCGAAGGCGGCAUCCUGGACCGGCAUUGACGCUGAUGAGCGAAAGCUAGGGGAGCAAACGGGG